rnacentral:rRNA from 2 species
CGGUUAAGUUAGAAAGGGCGCACGGUGGAUGCCUUGGCACUAGGAGCCGAUGAAGGACGGGACGAACACCGAUAUGCUUCGGGGAGCUGUAAGCAAGCUUUGAUCCGGAGAUUUCCGAAUGGGGAAACCCACCACUCGUAAUGGAGUGGUAUCCAUAUCUGAAUUCAUAGGAUAUGAGAAGGCAGACCCGGGGAACUGAAACAUCUAAGUACCCGGAGGAAGAGAAAGCAAAUGCGAUUCCCUGAGUAGCGGCGAGCGAAACGGGAUUAGCCCAAACCAAGAGGCUUGCCUCUUGGGGUUGUAGGACACUCUGUACGGAGUUACAAAAGAACGAGGUAGAUGAAGAGGUCUGGAAAGGCCCGCCAUAGGAGGUAACAGCCCUGUAGUCAAAACUUCGUUCUCUCCUGAGUGGAUCCUGAGUACGGCGGAACACGUGAAAUUCCGUCGGAAUCCGG